rnacentral:rRNA from 1 species
UACGGAGGGUGCGAGCGUUGUCCGGAAUUACUGGGCGUAAAGAGCUCGUAGGUGGUUUGUCGCGUUGUUCGUGAAAACUCACAGCUUAACUGUGGGCGUGCGGGCGAUACGGGCAGACUGGAGUACUGCAGGGGAGACUGGAAUUCCUGGUGUAGCGGUGGAAUGCGCAGAUAUCUGGAGGAACACCGGUGGCGAAGGCGGCAUCCUGGACCAACACUGUCACUGAGGAGCGAAAGCCAGGGGAGCAAACGGG